rnacentral:rRNA from 1 species
AAGGUCUAACCUGCCCGAUGAUUGUGAAUUUAAUGGCCGCGGUAUUUUAACUGUGCUAAGGUAGCAUAAUCACUUGUCUUUUAAUUGGAGGCUAGAAUGAAUGGUUGGACGAGGCAUAUGCUUUCUUUAAUUCAGUUUUUGAAUUUAAUUUUUUAGUUAAAAAGCUAAAAUGUAUUUGAGGGACGAGAAGACCCUAUAGAUCUUUAUAAACUUCUGCAUUAUGUAUAUUAGUGAAUUAAUUACUUUAAUGGGCAAGUUUAUUUGGUUGGGGUGACUGUAGAGAUAAAAUAACUUCUAUUUAUUGUAUUUCACAAAUUAGUGUUUAGUUGAUCCACUUUUAGUGAUUAAAAGAUUAAGUUACCUUAGGGAUAACAGCGUAAUUUUUUCGGAGAGUUCUUAUCGAUGAAGGAGUUUGCGACCUCGAUGUUGGAUUAAAAUAAGUAAUGGGUGUAGCAGCUCAUUUACUAGGUCUGUUCGACCUUUAAUUUUUU